AGAGUUUGAUCCUGGCUCAGAACGAACGCUGGCGGCAUGCCUAACACAUGCAAGUCGAACGAGGGGCUUCGGCCCUAGUGGCGCACGGGUGAGUAACGCGUGGGAACCUGCCCUGUGGUACGGAAUAACUCCGGGAAACUGGAGCUAAUACCGUAUGUGUCUUGAGGGACAAAGAUUUAUCGCCAUGGGAUGGGCCCGCGUAGGAUUAGCUUGUUGGUGGGGUAACGGCCUACCAAGGCAACGAUCCUUAGCUGGUCUGAGAGGAUGAUCAGCCACACUGGGACUGAGGACACGGCCCAGACUCCUACGGGAGGCAGCAGUGGGGAAUAUUGGACAAUGGGCGCAAGCCUGAUCCAGCAAUGCCGCGUGAGUGAUGAAGGCCUUCGGGUUGUAAAGCUCUUUCGCACGCGACGAUGAUGACGGUAGCGUGAGAAGAAGCCCCGGCUAACUUCGUG
rnacentral:rRNA from 1 species